rnacentral:rRNA from 1 species
CCAGCGGAGGGAUCAUUACCGAGUUAUACAACUCAUCAACCCUGUGAACAUACCUAAAACGUUGCUUCGGCGGGAACAGACGGCCCUGUAACUACGGGCCGCCCCCGCCAGAGGACCCCUAACUCUGUUUUUAUAAUGUUUUUCUGAGUAAACAAGCAAAUAAAUUAAAACUUUCAACAACGGAUCUCUUGGCUCUGGCAUCGAUGAAGAACGCAGCGAAAUGCGAUAAGUAAUGUGAAUUGCAGAAUUCAGUGAAUCACCGAAUCUUUGAGCGCACAUUGCGCCCGCCAGUAUUCUGGCGGGCAUGCCUGUUCGAGCGUCAUUACAACCCUCAGGCCCCCGGGCCUGGCGUUGGGGAUCGGCGGAAGCCCCCUGUGGGCACACGCCGUCCCUCAAAUACAGUGGCGGUCCCGCCGCAGCUUCCAUUGCGUAGUAGCUAACACCUCGCAACUGGAGAGCGGCGCGGCCAUGCCGUAAAACACCCAACUUCUGAAUGUUGACCUCGAAUCAGGUAGGAAUACCCGCUGAACUUAAGCAUAUCAAUAAGCGGAGGAA